GCGUCCGUCGUCGAGGAUCUCGGCGGCUUCGAGCACCGCGCGAUCGGUGGCAUGGGUGACCGGCCCCUCGUUCGGGUCGGGGCAGGCGCGC
rnacentral:tRNA from 1 species